rnacentral:rRNA from 1 species
AACGAACGCUGGCGGCAUGCCUAACACAUGCAAGUCGAACGAAGCCUUCGGGCUUAGUGGCGCACGGGUGCGUAACGCGUGGGAAUCUGCCCUUAGGUACGGAAUAACUCAUGGAAACGUGUGCUAAUACCGUAUGAUGUCUUCGGACCAAAGAUUUAUCGCCUAGGGAUGAGCCCGCGUUGGAUUAGCUAGUUGGUGAGGUAAAGGCUCACCAAGGCGACGAUCCAUAGCUGGUCUGAGAGGAUGAUCAGCCACACUGGGACUGAGACACGGCCCAGACUCCUACGGGAGGCAGCAGUGGGGAAUAUUGGACAAUGGGCGAAAGCCUGAUCCAGCAAUGCCGCGUGAGGGAUGACGGCUUUCGGGUUGUAAACCUCUUUCGCUACCGAACAAGGCUCCAUAUUGGUGGGGUUGAGGGUAGGUGGAUAAGAAGCGCCGGCUAACUACGUGCCAGCAGCCGCGGUAAGCUCGUCUCUA